UGGCUGGUUCUAGCUCAGCUGUUACUUUGUAAAUGCUCUGGCUGAGCAAACUGCUGGGAGUUCAAGUCCUGUGGGCGCUGCCCUGGCUUUCA
rnacentral:vault_RNA from 1 species